AAUCUAAUGAUAGAAAAAGAAACAAUGCGACCGACUCGUUUCUUUGUCGCGUUCUUCUUCUCCGCUGCCGACCGGUCCGGCGAUAUACCAUCCCCCCGUUGCUGGAAGUCAAGAGACUGCUUUACGUUGUCGGUUGAUCGAGCCGUCGAUUCCAUCCCCGAAACCUGUUCUAUUCUUUGCUUCCUCAGCCGCUUCACGGUACUCCUGUUUGUCGAAAUCUUGUGCACUGUUGUGAACUAAAAUGCACGAAUUGCUGAGGGGAAGAUGUCUGCUUUGGACUUGUUGGCUGGUUAGACCUGUUCCACAUACGAAUGAGAGACUGAAGCCACCAGCACAGGCCUCUCCUUGGUUCUCUUUCGGUGAUAAGAAAAGGACAAGAAUGGUGCUGUAGACAUCCAGAAAAGUAACUUGGAACAAGACACCACUAAAAUGUCUGGUAAUUCAACUUUUUUGAUUUGCUUAACUUUUUGAGCCCCCCCCAUCCCCCGUUUUUUCUUUUGUGUGUCUGCAGAUCAUCCCCUGACUGAUGUGGAGAAGAGGAGGAUCAAGUGGAGUGGAUGCCUGUGGGACCUUCUGCAGCCAGAAAUAAUUAAACCCACAGAAGAACCUCACAUGCCUGAACAUGGAAGCUUAUCCCCACCUACAAUUAAGACCACCGGCCUCCAUUGGCUUGUCUCCUCCAUGGAAAGGGACACCAUAGGUGCCAUGUCCACUGCACCAGAAUGAGCAUCAUUUCUUCAACAUGCAUCAACAGUAAAAUUAUUCUACACAAGUCACAACAAUUCCUGAAAAGGAAAAAAAAAAGGUUCCUGAUUCCCUCAAAAACAUCUCUGCAUUUCAGGCACUUGCAACCUUUAUUAUUUGUUCUAAGACUAUCAAAAUGAAAUCGAGGGCUAGUUUUACAAUAAAUUGUUUCUGUUUUAUUUAGUGUAUUAUGUAUGACUCUGUACAUGUUCCAAAGCAAAUAUACAAGCAUAUUUAUCUGCUCA